rnacentral:misc_RNA from 1 species
GAUGAAGAACGUAGCGAAAUGCGAUAAGUAGUGUGAAUUGCAGAAUUUAGUGAAUCAUCGAAUCUUUGAACGCACAUUGCGCCCUUUGGUAUUCCUUAGGGCAUGCCUGUUCGAGCGUCAUCUACACCCUCAAGCACAGCUUGGUGAUGGGCGCCUGUCCCGCCCCCCACGGGGGCGCGGACUCGCCUCAAAUGCAUUGGCGGCCGGCGACCUGGCUUCGAGCGCAGCAGAAACGCGUACUCGGGGACCGGGCGCACGCUCCCAGAAGCCAACCCACCCAGUUUGACCUCGGAUCAGGUAGGGAUACCCGCUGAACUUAAGCAUAUCAAAAGCGGAGGA